UUGAACAAAAGGGAAAAUAAGAUGAAGUGAGGCAGGGGUGUGGAUCAUGAAAUGAGGUGCAAAUGGUAAGGGCCUUGGGCCUCAAGCCCAAGUUUCUGACAAUCAACACAUGUGUCCAGGUCAUGUGGCCAAAAUUCCCAAUCAAAACGCGCUGUCAAAUGAACAUGAACAUGGAACAAGCUCCUUCAUCAUUUCCAUGCACUAUCUGCUUCUCACCCUCAUAUCCAAUGUUCAUACAAGAAAAAGAAACACGAACAAAUCCAAAGUUGAAGCUCCAUCACCAUCACUACAAUCUUAUUUAACUCGAUUUCAACAUCACCUUUAAUGAAUCGGAAGUUGCAACAUCCAAAACCGGAAUCGAAACGUAUUUGAUUCGUAUCGACGCGGUGAAUUGAGAAGAGAAGAUGGUUCUUGUGGAUUGCGCUACACAAAUGAUUGAAGAAGGAGACCAAAGAGUAACUUACCAAUGUGGUGGCUCUUCAGAGUUAACAUGUAUCAGAUUCUUCUUCUUUUCUUCGGCAAUUGCUUCGCUUCCUCCUUCUUCUUGUACUUCGGUUUCUUCGUGAGAGAGAUAGGAUCAUGCUUAUAUGAAUUUGCAGUGAUGCGAAAGUGGAGAGUUGAAAAAUCUAAAGUGAAAAUGCUUCGUGAUUUUGUGAUUGCUCCUCCUGUGGUUUGUGAAGAGUGUCCUUGAAUAAAGAAGAGUGAUUGCAUUUAUAGCUUUUAGGUUAGCUAUUAUGGGCUCUCGAAUGGUGCAGUUGAACAAGUUGCAGGGUCGUAUUAGUCUUCAGAAUUAUGCAGGUGGUAAUGCGUUAAGCAUGAGCAACACUUGGUGUCCCGUUGAAGAAAUAUGCAAGGUGGACGUUUUGAAUUUUUCACUUGGUGUUCUUUUUAAUAAGUGCAGGGUGUAUUGGUUAUAUUGGAGAAAAUGUACAUGUUGUAUGCGUUUUAUGAAGGAGAUUUGCUUUGUGUUUUAUAAGGGUUGCACAUGAAUUGCCUUAGGGUUCUUUUGUGAAUCUUGUAGGUUGUAAUAUUUGGGAGUUUUUCUACUACACAUUUUCAUUGUGAGCUGUUUGGGUGCGUUUGCUUGGGAUACAUGUUAACAGGGCCUCGUGGAAUUAAAGUGUGGGACUGAGUUUAAUGCUUAGAUUAGUUGUAGGACUUGGUGUGGUAAACAAAUGUCAUGGACCAGGUUUAAUGGGAUUGGAAUUGUGUGUGGAUUUGUUAAAUGAAUUAUGGUCAGAUUUAGUUGGUAUAUGAAAUUAUGUAUGGUUGGAAAGUUGUAUUGAAUUUGAAUGUGCUAUGAGUUGUUUGAUUGAAUUGUAGCAUGAAAUGGUUUGAUAAUGUGAAUGGUGUAUUGAUUUGUAAUGGGAUUUUUGAAUGUGGUUUAUUGAAUGGUUGAGGAGUUUGAAUGCU